GCCGAAACACCCGAAGCCCUCCAUUGCAGCCCAACCACCUGAAGCCCUCCGUUUCAGCCUAGCCAUCUGAAGCGGUCGCAACCCAACAACCUGAAGACCUCCCAACCAAAGCCAUCCUCCAUUCUGCUUCGUAUUGUAGCGAGACGACACUCAUCUGAUCAUCUCUCUUUUGGAAUAAUUUUUUUUUCUAUAUUUGGGUUGUCGUGUAAAAACCAUAUUAACCAUUGUGUUCUCAAGGAAAGUCAUUAUUUGUUCAAGUAUUGCUUAAGUCGUUUACCGUUCUAUGUUUUGUUUAGAGAAAAUUAGUGUACAAUUCUAUUUAUUUUGGCUAUGUAUUUGAUUUUAACAUUUUUAUUUCCACUUUUUACUUUGAUUUCUGGCAGUUUAGUUUAUCAAAUAUAUAUAUAUAUACAUUCUAUUCAUGUUUUACAGUAUCGCAGGCUCAACAAGUUUGAAAGA